rnacentral:lncRNA from 1 species
UAUGAUAUUCACCUCAACAAGUACCAUUUGGAAGACGGAAAAAAAUACGACAGUUAUACCAUCGCUGAAUAGCUAAUUCUGUAUUUUAGCAGAAUCCUUUCUAUUAAACUUUCAAAAAUGUAAUUUUUACUAAAUUAUGACGUGAUUACACUAGACAAACUUAUACUCAAUCACAAUUGCAUAUUCUUGCCAAAGCAAAAUUCUACAAUAUACAUAUGGAUAUAUGAAUAAAUUAUGUUGAUUAAUUUUGAUCAACAACAUUGUGGCAACACAUUAGGCUAACAAAGUAUUACAAACACUGGUGGUAUAAAACACAGGAAUUGUGAUAAAGAGUGGCACGCAUCAAAAAAGAUAAACCACACAAUUCCUCAUCACAAAUUGCAUCAUUUUUUCCUCAUUUAACCUUCCAUAUUCAUCAGCUGUGAAGAUUAUAACUUACAAAUAAACCUAACUAUCAAAUUGCAUGUUGAUUUCAUUAGUUAUUCCAUCCCCAAAUCUAAACAAAUUCUCAGAGUUUUUCAUGUUGUAAAUUCAAAAUAUUACUAAUGUAAUAGUUGCAAAAAAUUAAGCUUUGACGGCAACAUUAUCGAAAUUUACAGAGAAAAUGUUUUCUAAACACCCACCACAAUCAGCACUACUGGGAGCAGACAAAAAGAUUUAUUAAAGAUGCAUAUAAUCACUUCAAAUCCAAUUCAAUUUCCAGCAAAAUAAUAAGAUUCAAUAAGCGCAAAUAUCUCAAAACUGAUAAUAUAGAUCGAUCAUAAAUCUCUUACUGAUACAAAACUAACAACCACAAGUUCAUUCAUGAUUCAUAUAAAACUAAACAAAAUGUAUCACUGGAAAUAAAACUUAACAAAAAAAAAAACAAAUCAUUGAUUCAGAA